AUUGAACGCUGGCGGCAGGCUUAACACAUGCAAGUCGAGCGGGGUGAUGGUGCUUGCACUAUCACUUAGCGGCGGACGGGUGAGUAAUGCUUAGGAAUCUGCCUAUUAGUGGGGGACAACAUCUCGAAAGGGAUGCUAAUACCGCAUACGUCCUACGGGAGAAAGCAGGGGAUCACUUGUGACCUUGCGCUAAUAGAUGAGCCUAAGUCGGAUCAGCUAGUUGGUGGGGUAAAGGCCUACCAAGGCGACGAUCUGUAGCGGGUCUGAGAGGAUGAUCCGCCACACUGGACUGAGACACGGCCCAGACUCCUACGGGAGGCAGCAGUGGGGAAUAUUGGACAAUGGGGGGAACCCUGAUCCAGCCAUGCCGCGUGUGUGAAGAAGGCCUUAUGGUUGUAAAGCACUUUAAGCGAGGAGGAGGCUCUUUUGGUUAAUACCCAAGAUGAGUGGACGUUACUCGCAGAAUAAGCACCGGCUAACUCUGUGCCAGCAGCCGCCGUAA
rnacentral:rRNA from 1 species